rnacentral:tRNA from 1 species
GGGAAUGUGACUUAGUGGUAGAGUGCUUGCCUAGUAUGCAUGAAGCAGGGUUCGAUUCCUCAGUGCCA